AUUACAUUUGAAAAGAAGGAACAAUGCUUGAAGUAAGAAGGAGUCCCUAUGUGUUUUUCAGCAGCUGAUAAAACAUGAACAAAGUCUGAGUAAGAUCUUUUUGUGAAGAAUCUCUUUGGUCACGUAAUAACCCUCUCCUGCUCCAACUGCCCUAUAACUGAGCUCUGUGUCAGGCUGAGUUCAGAAAAGGGUGCUGCACUCUAGGGUCAGUUACCUUUCAUCAGCUGUGCUCCAGAAGUGUGAGGAGCAUCUCUUGAGCUCAGUAUCUGGUGAUCCAACACGCCUUUAAGGUAUAUUGCAGUCUCAUGCUGUGUCUAGGCACUGCUUUGAGUUCUGGGCAAAGAAAAGCACCAGGAUGAAAGGCAUUGAACACAAGUUGCUGUUAUUAAGACUUCUGAAAUGUGAAGAUACUAUUAAAGGAUGUGGUCAAAUUUCCCAGGGGUCAGAGAUGGACACUUCUUCGUGACUGAAGUUUUGCCAUUUAGGAAUAUCAGUAGAUGAGGCACUCUCAUUGCACCAAACCUUCCUGCCCUUGGGUCCAUCCCAGCUUCAAAGACUGACAGUGAGGCUCUGAGAGCCCUUCUUUGAAAAUUACCUGCAGCACAGAAGAUAAAGGGCCUGGAUUCCCACGUUUACCUGAAGAGUCACACACUUUGAUAGUAACUGCUGCAGAGAUAAUGUGCUGCUCAGUUUUACAAGCACAUUCGCACAGGUUUGUGGUUUCUGGGCAGAUGCCCAAAGCUGCUCUCCCAGAGGGUCACAAGAUGUGAAGAGAAGGGGAAGAGUUAGCACGCAAUUUACAAGCUAUACUGAGAGGGGAAGGAUGCAAUUUACAGGUGGAACAAGGAAGGACUGGUGCACUCUUAUCGGUUCAAGGAGGUUGAGGAGGAAAAAGCUGGUCUGUGCUUUAGCACUCGUAUCACUAGAAUCUACAGGUACUGAAAUAGUGAAUAGAAGGACUCCUCUGAUACUCUUACCAAUCCCUGGAGCUUGCUGGGUGCAGCUAGAAAUUAGUAUGUGUGUUGCCCUAAUGAAAUCAUUCUGCCUGUCUUUGCACUGUCAGUCUUUAUAAUUUUAUGAAGAUGAACACAUUCAAGAAGCCUCCAAUCUCUUUAAAGUGCAAAUCACUCAAAAUGGAGCAGCGGCCCAGAAGACAAUACCGGCCUUUGCACAUUUUCCAGUCUGCUGAUAAUGACUUCAGUGCAUCCCCACACAGACGUGCAGCAGGUUUCUAAAGGAAUUGUGCAGAAGGACCAGCAGAUUGGGCAGCACACAGGCAUCCUUGUUCCAGCAGAUGGAGAAGCAAAUGCCACAUCCUGGCCCAGGGUGAGAUUUUUUGCCAAAUCUGGGGCAAUCUAAAGGCAGCUGAAGCAGAGACCUCAACAAAUGACACCGUGUUCCUCUGUGUCUCCAGCUCACUCUUUGAAAGUAUGAGUCGUUCAUUCAUGGAAGUGGUGAUGUUUCCCAUGCCUGACAUCCCCUCUCUUUCCUCCAGGGUUGAAAUGAACCAGGAUGAAGGGCAGGGGACUGGACUGGCUCCAGGGUAGUAAGGUGGGUGAGGAAUGGGAAGGUGGUUAUAAAAGAGGCUUAUAGUCUUAAUUAAUUUAAACUGCUGGUUUAGGCUCUUUGAGGUGGGGAUUCUACAGCGCUCUUCCCAUUUUUGAAUGCAAGCACUUUAGACUAUUUCAAGUGCCUGUGAAAGGAAUAACAGAGCAGCAUGCAACAUUUUCUCAGCUGACACUCAGGGGAGGAGAAGAAGCAAGUAAGGAAGAAAAAGCCUUUGAAAAUUCCUACCUUUUCCACACUGAGCCACUUCCAGGGUUAAAUUGCAUGACCCAGAGUGCUCCUGCAUAGCUGUGGAAAGAUCCCUGAGGUGCUUCAUGGAGACCUGCCAGAGCCAGGCAUCGAUCUAGGAAGAUGGUGCUCUGCACAGAAAUUUCCCUGUCAGAAGGGGCAGCGAUCCCUCAUACCUUGCAUUUAAUUUCUUCACUUGCUGCUCCUGAGAAUGGUGCUCAAAUGGGGUUGCAGAUCUUCCAGUGCCAUUUGCAUUUGAUAUGAUACACCUGUCACAAUCCUGGAGGUAUCUUAGGCACCUAAUUUCAAGACUUCUUAGAAGCCAGAAUGGGAUGAUGCCACUAAGCAACAUGUGUUUGUGAGUUUUACUAUAUUAGAAUAUAUGAGUUUUUAUACCACUCUGUCCUUGCAUUCAACUCUUAGAAAAUGGAGGCAUAUACUUUCUUUUAGCUCUUUUUACAUUUAGGAGAUGUUUGUCCAUGUUCUCACAUUCGUGUGACUAAAAAUGGACUGAAUAAAUUAAAAAAAACCAACCAAAAAAACCAACCAACAAUAAACAAGUAAACUCUGAUUCAGAAAA